rnacentral:rRNA from 1 species
AUUGAACGCUGGCGGCAGGCCUAACACAUGCAAGUCGAACGGUAACAGGAAACAGCUUGCUGUUUCGCUGACGAGUGGCGGACGGGUGAGUAAUGUCUGGGAAACUGCCUGAUGGAGGGGGAUAACUACUGGAAACGGUAGCUAAUACCGCAUAACGUCGCAAGACCAAAGAGGGGGACCUUCGGGCCUCUUGCCAUCGGAUGUGCCCAGAUGGGAUUAGCUAGUAGGUGGGGUAACGGCUCACCUAGGCGACGAUCCCUAGCUGGUCUGAGAGGAUGACCAGCCACACUGGAACUGAGACACGGUCCCGACUCCUACGGGAGGCAGCAGUGGGGAAUAUUGCACAAUGGGCGCAAGCCUGAUGCAGCCAUGCCGCGUGUAUGAAGAAGGCCUUCGGGUUGUAAAGUACUUUCAGCGGGGAGGAAGGGAGUAAAGUUAAUACCUUUGCUCAUUGACGUUACCCGCAGAAGAAGCACCGGCUAACUCCGUG